GAAAGCAGGGGAUCGUAAGACCUUGUGCUUUUGGAGUGGCCGAUGCCUGAUUAGCUAGUUGGUAGGGUAAUGGCCUACCAAGGCGACGAUCAGUAGUUGGUUUGAGAGGACGACCAGCCACACUGGGACUGAGACACGGCCCAGACUCCUACGGGAGGCAGCAGUGGGGAAUUUUGGACAAUGGGCGCAAGCCUGAUCCAGCAAUGCCGCGUGAGUGAAGAAGGCCUUCGGGUUGUAAAGCUCUUUCAGUUGAGAAGAAAAGGUUGUGACUAAUAAUCACAACUCAUGACGGUAUCGACAGAAGAAGCACCGGCUAACUACGUGCCAGCAGCCGCGGUAAUACGUAGGGUGCGAGCGUUAAUCGGAAUUACUGGGCGUAAAGGGUGCGCAGGCGGCUUUGUAAGUCAGAUGUGAAAUCCCCGGGCUUAACCUGGGAAUUGCGUUUGAAACUACAAGGC
rnacentral:rRNA from 1 species